rnacentral:rRNA from 1 species
GGUCAAGAAGAAAAGGGCAUAUGGUGGAUGCCUUGGCGCUAUGGGCCGAAGAAGGGCGCGGUAAGCUGCGAAAAGCUACGGGGAGCUGCAAGCAAGCCUUGAUCCGUAGAUACCCGAAUGGGGCAACCCGGCGGAGCAAACCUCCGUCACCCUAUGCUGAACACAUAGGCAUAGAGGAGGGCACCCGGGGAACUGAAACAUCUAAGUACCCGGAGGAAAAGAAAGAAACAUCGAACCCCUCAGUAGCGGCGAGCGAACAGGGGCGAGCCUAAACCAGAUUUCUUCGGAAAUCUGGGGUUGCGGGACCCUCGUAACGUGAAGACUAGACCUAGCCGAAGACACCUGGAAAGGUGCUGCACAGAAGGUAAAACACCUGUAGGCGAAAGGUCGAAAUUUGCAGAGGAAAUCCCAAGUACCGCAGGACACGUGAAACCCUGUGGGAAUCCGGGGGGACCACCCCCCAAGGCUAAAUACCCAUAGCGACCGAUAGUGAACAAGUACCGUGAGGGAAAGGUGAAAAGCACCCCGGGAGGGGAGUGAAAAAGAACCUGAAACCGUAUGCUUACAAGCUGUCAGAGCACGGUUAAAGUGUGAUGGCGUACUUUUUGUAGAACGGACCGGCGAGUUACAUCUAACGUGCAGGUUAAGUUGUGAAAGACGGAGCCAUAGCGAAAGCGAGUCUUAAUAGGGCGCAAUGUACGUUGGAGUAGACCCGAAACCUGGUGAUCUACCCAUGUCCAGAGUGAAGCUUUAGUAAAAUAAAGUGGAGGCUCGAACCGACCUUCGUUGAAAAGGAGGCGGAUGAGGUGUGGGUAGGGGUGAAAUGCCAAUCGAACCAGGAGAUAGCUGGUUCUCCCCGAAAUAGCUUUAGGGCUAGCCUCGGUUUGAGGUAUACGGAGGUAGAGCACUGAAUGGGCUAGGGGCCUUCACGGGUUACCGAACCCAAUCAAACUCCGAAUGCCGUAAUACCAUAACCGGGAGUCAGACUGCGGGUGCUAAGAUUCGUAGUCAAGAGGGAAACAGCCCAGACCAACAGCUAAGGUCCCCAAGACAUGCUAAGUGGAAAAGGAUGUGGGGUUGCAGAGACAACCAGGAUGUUGGCUUAGAAGCAGCCACCAUUUAAAGAGUGCGUAAUAGCUCACUGGUCAAGUGGCCCUGCGCCGAAAAUGAAACGGGGCUAAGCAUGACACCGAAGCUUUGGAUUCUCGAGGUUCGAUGUUCGAGAUUCGAUGUUCGAAAGGAGAUGCACUUGGUUCUUGUAAUGAAGUUGCAGUGCUACAAACAUGGAAAUAAUCGAAUUUCGAACUUCGAAUAUCGAACUUCGAGAAUGGUAGGGGAGCGUUCCUAGUUCGUAGAAGUCGUACCGAAAGGAGCGGUGGAGGACUAGGAAGUGAGAAUGCCGGUAUGAGUAAGCGAAAAGGCAGGUGAGAAUCCUGCCCGCCGAAAACCUAAGGUUUUCUGGGGAAGGUUCGUCCGCCCAGAGUAAGUCGGGACCUAAGCCGAGGCCGCAAGGCGUAGGCGAUGGACAAUCGGUUGAGAAUCCGAUACCACCAAUAACCGUUUGAGGAUGGAGUGACGCAGGAGGGUAGGUUAAGCCAGCGGAUGGAAAAGCUGGUCCAAGCCAGUAGGGAGUGUGGUAGGCAAAUCCGCCACACGUAAAUCCUGAGAGGUGACGGGGAGCGAAAAAUAGUAGCGAAGUAACUGAUCCCAAACUGCCAAGAAAAGCUUCUAACGAGGUAAAUUGGUGCCCGUACCGUAAACCGACACAGGUAGGUGGGGUGAAAAUCCUAAGGCGCGCGAGAGAACCCUCGUUAAGGAACUCGGCAAAAUGACCCCGUAACUUCGGGAGAAGGGGUGCCUCGAUAUCGUGAAAGAAAAGCUUCUGGAGCGAGAAGAGGCCGCAGAGAAAAGGCCCAAGCGACUGUUUACCAAAAACACAGGUCCCUGCUAAAGCGAAAGCUGACGUAUAGGGGCUGACGCCUGCCCGGUGCUGGAAGGUUAAGGGGAAAUGUUAGCGCAAGCGAAGCAUAGAACCGAAGCCCCAGUAAACGGCGGCCGUAACUAUAACGGUCCUAAGGUAGCGAAAUUCCUUGUCAGGUAAGUUCUGACCCGCACGAAAGGCGUAACGAUUUGGGCACUGUCUCAACGAGGGGCUCGGUGAAAUUGUAAUGACGGUGAAGAUGCCGUCUACCUGCGACAGGACAGAAAGACCCCGUGGAGCUUUACUGUAGCUUGACAUUGGGUUUUGGUAUUUGAUGUACAGGAUAGGUGGGAGACAGAGAAGUCGGGACGCCAGUUUCGAUGGAGUCGCCGUUGGGAUACCACCCUUUAGAUAUUGAAAUUCUAACUUAAUGCCUUGAAGCAGGUAUAAGGACAGUGUCAGGUGGGCAGUUUGACUGGGGCGGUCGCCUCCCAAAAGGUAACGGAGGCGCCCAAAGGUUCCCUCAGCGCGGACGGAAAUCGCGCGUUAGAGUGCAAAGGCAAAAGGGAGCUUGACAGCGAGACCAACAAGUCGAGCUGGUACGAAAGUAGGGCUUAGUGAUCCGGCGGUUCUGAGUGGAAGGGCCGUCGCUCAACGGAUAAAAGCUACCCCGGGGAUAACAGGCUUAUCUCCCCCAAGAGUCCACAUCGACGGGGAGGUUUGGCACCUCGAUGUCGGCUCAUCGCAUCCUGGGGCUGAAGUAGGUCCCAAGGGUUGGGCUGUUCGCCCAUUAAAGCGGUACGUGAGCUGGGUUCAGAACGUCGUGAGACAGUUCGGUCCCUAUCCGUCGCAGGCGCAGGAAACUUGAGAAGAGCUGUCCCUAGUACGAGAGGACCGGGAUGGACGGAUCACUGGAGUACCAGCUAUCGUGCCAACGGUAGCGCUGGGUAACUAUAUCCGGACGGGAUAAGUGCUGAAAGCAUCUAAGCACGAAGCCUCCUUCAAGAUGAGGUUUCCCACUACGCAAGUAGGUAAGAUCCCAUGCAGACUACGUGGUAGAUAGGCCGGGUGUGUAAGCACAGUAAUGUGUUGAGCUGACCGGUACUAAUAGAUCGAGGUCUUGACCAA